rnacentral:lncRNA from 1 species
AUGAGUUUCUGUGAUAAUCAACAACAGCCUUUCUUUCCUUCUCUGUGUGCAGACAACCCACCCCUCAGGUCUAGACCUGCCAGGGCGCAUCCCAACUGGCUCCAGGUCCUAAGUCAUUGCACCUCGUUCUCAGAGGAGCAGAGAUUCCUCAGAGCCUCCAAGUCAGCAACAAGGACAAUAGAAGUUUCCAGACACUUCACAGUGGUGUGGGGCCCAGGGUGUCACCUUGGAAUCACAGAGGGUAGCUUCCCUCAGAAAAGGACUCCCAGUUUUCACAAUUCCUGCCCAAUGAAGAGGACCACAUGGCCUUAAUGAGAAUAUUUGGGCAUUCCACAACUGUGAAGUUUCCUUCCUCUCUCCACAUCAAAUCCAGCUUCUGUGACAUUGCUCCUGAGAAACAGAACGAGAGAACAGCAGAAAACACAUGGGCUGGUUAUCCAGGAAAGCUUGUGCUCUCUCCGCAGUGCCUCAUUUAUUGGAUUAUGCGUAAGACCAGGCUGAGCUAUCAGGAUAGAUUUCUCUUGGAGAUGUAGAAUGGACCCUCGUAGUGGUGAUGUUCCAAAACAUUAACUGAUUUGAUCACGUCACUCCUCAAUAAUCGUCAGUGGUCCCAAGUGACCUACUAAAUAAAGUCCAGAUUUUGUAGUUUGGAAUUCA